rnacentral:misc_RNA from 1 species
UAAGAAGCCAAAGUUGAGGGG